GUACACGGAGAAGGAUCAGCCCAUAGGAGAUUAGAUAGUUGGUGUGAGUGAUGCGCUACCAAGUCCACGAUCUCUCGUUGAUCUUAGCGGAUGAUCAACCACACUAGGACUGAGACACGGCCUAGACGUCCAUGGACGGCGGCAGUAAGGAAUAUUGGGCAAUGUGCGAAAGCAUGACCCAGCUAUAUCGCGUGGGUGAAGAAGAGCGUGUGCUCGUAAAACCCUUUCGACGUGUGA
rnacentral:rRNA from 1 species